CAAAAAUCAUUAUCGUUUGUUAAAUAGCAAAUAGAAGUUAAGCACACGCAACGACAAGGGUAAUUGCGUAAUUGGGAGAUGCAGAGCAUCUCAACUGGGCAUGCCAUGAAAUACCAACGAUAAACUUGAAUGUUGUAAAUUGGGAGGAAUAGAGGAUAUGUUCUGGUUACUUAGUUGCAUGUGUUGCUUAGUUCUAUAUCUAAACCUAGGUAUUUCCAAACCGAGCUUUCAGGGCUUCAACAAGGUCAAUGUUGGUAUUUCAAAAACAAUAUUCUAUAUGAAAAACACUGCAGAAAAUAUUAGCUAACACGGCUAAAUGUCAUUCUUAACACUCUAGACAUAACCACCAUGAGGAAGUACGAGAUAAAAGGGGGGGGGAAGA